rnacentral:rRNA from 1 species
AUUGAACGCUGGCGGCAUGCCUUACACAUGCAAGUCGAACGGCAGCACGGGUGCUUGCACCUGGUGGCGAGUGGCGAGCGGGUGAGUAAUACAUCGGAACGUACCUUAUCGUGGGGGAUAACGCAGCGAAAGCUGUGCUAAUACCGCAUACGCCCUGAGGGGAAAGCGGGGGAUCGCAAGACCUCGCGCGAUUAGAGCGGCCGAUGCCUGAUUAGCUUGUUGGUGGGGUAAAAGCCCACCAAGGCGACGAUCAGUAGCUGGGCUGAGAGGACGAUCAGCCACACUGGGACUGAGACACGGCCCAGACUCCUACGGGAGGCAGCAGUGGGGAAUUUUGGACAAUGGGGGCAACCCUGAUCCAGCAAUGCCGCGUGAGUGAAGAAGGCCUUCGGGUUGCAAAGCUCUUUUGUCAGGGAAGAAACACCGGCUCUAACACAGUCUGGGAAUGACGGUACCUGAAGAAUAAGCACCGGCUAACUACGUGCCAGCAGCCGCGGUAA